UGUAUUUUGUUGAUAAUAAAAUAUAAAACCUGCUCAAUGAGGUUUUAAAUAGCUGCAGUAAUUUGACUGUACAAAGGUAGCGUAAUUGCUUGAUUUUUAAUUGGAGUCUGGUUUGAAUGGUUUAAUGAAAAUAAAAAGAUUUUUUAAGCAUUUAUUGAAUUUUUAAUUUUUGUGAAGAUACAAAAAUUUUUUAAAAAGAAGAUAAGACCCUAAGAGCUUUUAGUGGGCUAAUUAUUCACUUUGAUUGGGGAAAAUGGCUUAUAAGUUAUAAGUUGUUUGAACUUUUAUAAAAAAUAAAAGAGUAAGUUACCUUAGGGAUAACAGGACAAUGUUUUUUUUGAGUUCAUAUUGAUAAAAAUGUUUGUUACCUCGUUGUUGAAUCAUAAUUUCUUUUGGAGGGUACUUUUUCAAAUAGACAAUCUGUUCGAUUAUUAAAUUUAUUCG
rnacentral:rRNA from 1 species